UGCAGGCUUGAUAGAAGUUCUUAGAUCUUGCAAAACAAUUCACAAGCUAAGUACAGACUAUAAGAUAAGCAGAGAAUUACUGGAAAAAUAAUAUUACUUCCUUGUCCAGGAGCUAAGCUGACAUCUACAGUAUAUCUGGUUACAUGAAACCUGUCAUACAGCAUUAUUGUUAUGCUUUAGAAAGAAUGUAUUUGCAGUAAAAGGUGUAACCGAGGUAUAUAAAGAAAUGUGUUCCUCUGCAUGACCAGACCAGCUUCCAUCAUGAAGACGCUAGUGUGUGCUCUUAUUGUGGUGCUUCUCUGCAGUGCCUCAGUGCACUCGCUGACAUGCUACACCUGUGUGGAUGGGGACUGCAAGACCCCAACAGAAUGUCCUGCCUCAAGCAAUUUCUGCAAAACAGUUUCAACAGCCACUGUGUUCAGCCGGACAUGUGAGGAGUUCUGUGUUCCGGGAGUGAACAUCUACUGCUGCACUUCUGAUCUGUGUGACUGAUCUCUCAACGUCACCAGUCCUGCUGAUCGACUGUUCUUGAGUCAGGCACUUAUGUUCAUUGCAAUAGCGUAGCAGGAAAUAUUGGGUUACUCUAGGUGUAUAAUUUUUCUAAUGACUUUCUACCAUCUGACUCAACAUGGUUUGCUUUACAUAGCACUACUUGAAGGAAUGUCUAAAGUGUAGUUUCUGUCGCAGCUCUACAUGAUUUAUGAAUUGAAUAAAAUCUACUCAGU
ensembl:lncRNA